rnacentral:rRNA from 1 species
CGGGACGGGUGAGUAACGCGUGGAUAACCUGCCGUAUACUGGGGGAUAACACUUAGAAAUAGGUGCUAAUACCGCAUAAGCGCACAGUCUCGCAUGAGACGGUGUGAAAAACUCCGGUGGUAUACGAUGGAUCCGCGUCUGAUUAGCUUGUUGGCGGGGUAACAGCCCACCAAGGCGACGAUCAGUAGCCGGCCUGAGAGGGUGAACGGCCACAUUGGGACUGAGACACGGCCCAAACUCCUACGGGAGGCAGCAG